AUCUAGGGCUGUACUGCUCUGUAUACACCUGGUCUUGCCUGAUUCCAGAAGCUAAGCAGAGUCAGACCUUGGUAGUACUUGGAG
rnacentral:rRNA from 14 species